GUUAAACCCUUUUGCCAAUUAAAGUUUUCAAAUUUCAUUAACAUGGAAAUUUAUAAAUUCAGGAAGGAUUCAAAUUAUAUUGGGACGUAUGCCAGCCUUGAGUUUAGUGCCAAUGACACCAUUCCAUCUAAUUCGUCAAUUACAAGCACUCUUUAUAAUGCCACAAAAAACCAAACCAAAUGGAAGAUUAUAAAAGGUUCUGUAAAAGUCAUCUAGAUUUCAGAGACAAGUACAACUUCAAGUCUGGACACAAAACUUCUCUAUUAGACUUCAGCAUGAGUGCUAGCUCUGAUGGAACAAUGGCCAAUACCAGCUCUCCACGGGAUGUGCACAUGUAUACUGUGUAAUUAAUAUGGAAUACAUUUGCAUAAUAUUUAUCUGACAAAAUACGGAUGAUUCAUAACAUUUCUAAUUUAAGGCAUGGUAGCACAUAGUGUGUAGCACAGAAAAUAUGACUUGUCCAGAAUCUUACAUUAUAUAUAACUGGUGAUGGUUUUUGCUAUGAUUUGUCUGGAAUUUUACAUUAUA